UACGUAGGGUGCAAGCGUUAAUCGGAAUUACUGGGCGUAAAGCGUGCGCAGGCGGUUUUGUAAGUCUGUCGUGAAAGCCCCGGGCUCAACCUGGGAAUUGCGAUGGAGACUGCAAGGCUUGAAUCUGGCAGAGGGGGGUAGAAUUCCACGUGUAGCAGUGAAAUGCGUAUAGAUGUGGAGGAACACCGAUGGCGAAGGCAGCCCCCUGGGUCAAGAUUGACGCUCAUGCACGAAAGCGUGGGGAGCAAACAGG
rnacentral:rRNA from 1 species